ensembl:lncRNA
GUACUUCACUUCAAACACGGGUCAACGCGAUGCAGCAUCGUGUGUUCUACGUCAUCAAAAAUGGCGGCCCUGUCCCCCAAACUAAAAUUAAGACCUGCCGAAAACGUCAUUCGGGCGCGGCGUUUCUUGACGUCUUGCUAGUAUUGCUAGCACAGACGCUAAAUAACGGCUGGCAGAAAGAAAUUUAGCGAUUUAGUUUACGAUAUGGUUUGUGUUUAAAUCAUUUCUAAUCACCGCGACUUUAUUUCUUGCUUUUAGUCGCGAGCUUGAACAGUACGGUAAGUAAAUAGCGAUUUCUUUCGAGGAAAACGCGACGCUAACCUAGCUAGCUUUAGCGAGCUAAACGGUUUAGUAUGGAAAAAUAAACAUCCUACCGAAGUAUAACGUUAUCUAUCGGUUGUUUGUUAGAUGUUAGUGAACUCUUUGUUGUCGGAUAUUAAAGUGCUUGCUGGGUUGAAAGCGCGAAAUGUUCGCGGUUGGCGAUUCGAGUUAGUUAGUUAGUUAGCUUAGCUGUUGUGUUGUAUAAUAUUACGUGUAAGGUUUGUGUUGUAUUACAGUUAAGGUUGUCAUGGUAGCUUCGGCAAGCGUUUAGUGAAACAGUGAAAGAUUAAGUUAAAAUGUGUUUAAAACUGGAAUUAUAAUUCGUGUAGUCUAAAUGUUUAGUGUGAAGCACAAGAGCAUUAUUUAGUUAGUCCUGCGUGUUAUUCUCAUUACGGAAGAAGAAGAAGGAAAAGAAUAAAAAGAAGAGGAAGGGGGGAAACAUUCAGUUUAAAUCUUAUUUCUAAAAGUUUUGGGGCUUAUUAAUGAGAAAAUGAAUAAGGAGAGAGAGAGAGUGUGUGAGUGUUUUAUUUGGGGUUGGGAUCUACCAAACGUCUAGGCUACUGGUGCCUGAAAUAAUGGAUCUGACCCAGUGAUUUGAUUUAGAUACUAGUAUCUAAAAUGGAAAGAAGUAGGACUGGAGCAUUCUUACUUUGGAUAAAAGAGAUGUAUGUUCACUUUUUCAUACAUUAUAUCCGUUUAAAAUAUGUUUGUAACCAGAUGACACGAGGAUGAGGAAACACUGAGGUGAAUAGAUCGGCAUGUCAGUUUGUAGAGGAUUAUCCCAGAGCCCUACUGAAUCCUGGAUUCUGAUUGGUCAGAAGCAUGUUAGGAGGUUGGGGUCAGCUAUGAUACAGUGCCCCCUGGAGCAGAGAGGGUUAAGGGCCUUGCUCAAGGGCCCAACAGUGGCAGCUUGGCAGUGCUGAACCCCCAACCUUCCGGUCAGUAACCCAGAGCUAAGCCACCACUGCCCCAAUGCAGGUUUAUAUUAAUACGUUAUCGUUUCUAUAGUAACAGAUCAUUCACAGGGACUUUCAUGGCGGCAGACGCUCGGAUUAAAAGUAAGGACGCGUUGGUUUAACAUUUACGGAAGGAGUCGCCAGUGUCUGUGAGAACAGGAAGUAACUGGUUUGGAUGCUCCACAACUUUAAAUGUAGCUGUAAACGGAUAAAAAAAUUUUUUAAGUAUGAUGCCAUAGUGUAAUAAAUAUGGUGCAAGGGGUGUAAUAAAACACACCAUGUUGUGCUGUUAUUAUAGGGUAUUGUAAUAAUCAACGUUGUCAUGGUAACAGUACGUCGGCUACAUCGUAGGACCUCGUCGUUGAUUAUUUUACUGUUACAGCAC